rnacentral:rRNA from 1 species
AUUGAACGCUGGCGGCAGGCUUAACACAUGCAAGUCGAGCGGGGUGAUGGUGCUUGCACUAUCACUUAGCGGCGGACGGGUGAGUAAUGCUUAGGAAUCUGCCUAUUAGUGGGGGACAACAUCUCGAAGGGGAUGCUAAUACCGCAUACGUCCUACGGGAGAAAGCAGGGGAUCACUUGUGACCUUGCGCUAAUAGAUGAGCCUAAGUCGGAUUAGCUAAUUGGUGGGGUUAAGGCCUACCAAGGCGACGAUCUGUAGCGGGUCUGAGAGGAUGAUCCGCCACACUGGGACUGAGACACGGCCCAGACUCCUACGGGAGGCAGCAGUGGGGAAUAUUGGACAAUGGGGGGAACCCUGAUCCAGCCAUGCCGCGUGUGUGAAGAAGGCCUUAUGGUUGUAAAGCACUUUAAGCGAGGAGGAGGCUCUUUUGGUUAAUACCCAAGAUGAGUGGACGUUACUCGCAGAAUAAGCACCGGCUAACUCUGUGCCAGCCGCCGCUGUAA